rnacentral:RNase_P_RNA from 1 species
CGAGCCAUCCGGGUGAUCGCGGAAGCGGUGAGUUGUCGAGGAAAGUCCGGGCUCCAUAGAGCAGGGUGGUGGGUAACGCCCACCCGGGGUGACCCGCGGGAAAGUGCCACAGAGAACAGACUGCCGGUUUCGAGCCGGUGAGGGUGAAACGGUGGAGUAAGUGCCCAACGCGUCAUAUGUCUCUUAUACCCAUCUCCCGAGCCCACGCGACCGAGG